rnacentral:rRNA from 1 species
GUGGGGAAUCUUGCGCAAUGGGCGAAAGCCUGACGCAGCCAUGCCGCGUGAAUGAUGAAGGUCUUAGGAUUGUAAAAUUCUUUCACCGGGGACGAUAAUGACGGUACCCGGAGAAGAAGCUCCGGCUAACUUCGUGCCAGCAGCCGCGGUAAUACGAAGGGGGCUAGCGUUGCUCGGAAUUACUGGGCGUAAAGGGCGCGUAGGCGGACAGCUUAGUCAGAGGUGAAAGCCCAGGGCUCAACCUUGGAAUUGCCUUUGAUACUGGCUGUCUUGAGUUUGGGAGAGGUGAGUGGAACUCCGAGUGUAGAGGUGAAAUUCGUAGAUAUUCGGAAGAACACCAGUGGCGAAGGCAACUCACUGGCCCAAUACUGACGCUGAGGCGCGAAAGCGUGGGGAGCAAACAGGAUUAGAUACCCCGGUAGUCC